UACGGGGGGGGCAAGCGUUGUUCGGAAUUACUGGGCGUAAAGGGCUCGUAGGCGGCCAACUAAGUCAGACGUGAAAUCCCUCAGCUUAACUGGGGAACUGCGUCUGAUACUGGAUGGCUUGAGAUUGGGAGAGGGAUGCGGAAUUCCAGGUGUAGCGGUGAAAUGCGUAGAUAUCGUAAGGAAGACCAGUGGCGAAGGCGGGUCUCUGGACAGUUCCUGACGCUGAGGCACGAAGGCCAGGGGAGCAAACGGG
rnacentral:rRNA from 1 species